UACGAAGGGAGCUAGCGUUGUUCGGAAUCACUGGGCGUAAAGCGCACGUAGGCGGAUGUGUCAGUCAGGGGUGAAAUCCCGGAGCUCAACUUCGGAACUGCCUUUGAUACAGCACGUCUUGAGUCCGAUAGAGGUGGGUGGAAUUCCUAGUGUAGAGGUGAAAUUCGUAGAUAUUAGGAAGAACACCGGUGGCGAAGGCGGCCCACUGGAUCGGUACUGACGCUGAGGUGCGAAAGCGUGGGGAGCAACAGG
rnacentral:rRNA from 1 species